GCGGGUGUCGCCAAGUGGUAAGGCAUCAGCUUCCCAAGCUGACAUUCGUCGGUUCGAAUCCGAUCACCCGCU
rfam:Anaerolineaceae bacterium 4572_5.2 ex4572_5.2_scaffold_7770, whole genome shotgun sequence.